ACGAACGCUGGCGGCGUGCCUAAUACAUGCAAGUCGAACGGUCUUUCUAUGGAAGCUUGCUUCCACUGAGAAGAUAGUGGCGAACGGGUGAGUAACACGUGGGUAACCUGCCCAUAAGAGGGGGAUAACAUCCGGAAACGGGUGCUAAUACCGCAUAGUUUUCUUGAUCGCAUGAUCGGGAAAGGAAAGACGGCCUUUGUGCUGUCGCUUAUGGAUGGACCCGCGGCGUAUUAGUUAGUUGGUGAGGUAAUGGCUCACCAAGACGAUGAUACGUAGCCGACCUGAGAGGGUGAUCGGCCACAUUGGGACUGAGACACGGCCCAAACUCCUACGGGAGGCAGCAGUAGGGAAUCUUCCGCGAUGGACGAAAGUCUGACGGAGCAACGCCGCGUGAGUGAAGAAGGUUUUCGGAAUCGUAAAACUCUGUUGUCAGAGAAGAACAAGUUGGAGAGUAACUGCUCCAGCCUUGACGGUAUCUGACCAGAAAGCCACGGCUAACUACGUGCCAGCAGCAGC
rnacentral:rRNA from 1 species